rnacentral:rRNA from 1 species
AGAGUUUGAUUCUGGCUCAGAUUGAACGCUGGCGGAAUGCUUAACACAUGCAAGUCGAGCGGGAUGGAGAAAUUUGGUUCGCUUGAGAGGGGUGAAGAGGUGAUAGAAGCCUGCCUCUCUGCGGGGGAUAGGGGGAUGAAACUUGGAAAAAUACCGCAUGAUGUCGUACGACCUACAUGGAGGAGAACGCGACGAGAGGGACCCUCUACGAGCGUCCUUGUAGCAGUCGUAGGUCCUNAUGUACGUCGCAUAUGAGUCCUGAGAUGAGCGUGGUUAGAGUUGGACGCGCUAACAUAGGCGUCGACGAUCGAGGUACGCAUGCGCUACUAGACGUAGGUACUGAUGCAGGCAUAGCAUCCAGGUACACUAGCAUGAGCAACGUGUACUCAGCGACGUGCUCUCACGAGCGUACGCGUCACGCGAGAUGGCGAGACAUAUGUGGAACAUAUGUGGGCAGCAAUGCGCGUCGGAUACACGACCUGAAUUC